AGGACGAACGCUGGCGGCGUGCUUAACACAUGCAAGUCGAGCGGAAAGGCCCUUCGGGGUACUCGAGCGGCGAACGGGUGAGUAACACGUGAGUAAUCUGCCCCUAGCUCUGGGAUAGCUCCGGGAAAACCGGGAUUAAUACUGGAUACGACCACCUUAGACAUCUUUUGUGGUGGAAAGAAUUUCGGCUAGGGAUGAGCUCGCGGCCUAUCAGCUUGUUGGUGGGGUAACGGCCUACCAAGGCGACGACGGGGUA
rnacentral:rRNA from 1 species